UGCCAGCCGCCGCGGUAAUACGGAGGGUGCAAGCGUUAUCCGGAUUUAUUGGGUUUAAAGGGUGCGUAGGCGGAAUAAUAAGUCAGUGGUGAAAUCCUGCGGCUCAACCGUAGAACUGCCAUUGAUACUGUUAUUCUUGAAUAUAGUUGAGGUAGGCGGAAUGCGUAGUGUAGCGGUGAAAUGCUUAGAUAUUACACAGAACACCGAUAGCGAAGGCAGCUUACAAAACUACUAUUGACGCUCAGGCACGAAAGCGUGGGGAGCGAACAGGAUUAGAUA
rnacentral:rRNA from 1 species